AAUCCAACAACCGACCAUUAGAGAGACUCUUCUUGUGAACACCACAUUUGAGCUAAGAUGAGGAUUGCUCUAGUGACGCUCCUUACCCUUGCUGUCCUUCUAUUAGGAUCAGAUGUGGAAGCAGAACAACUUCAAUGUACGACUGCAGUUAUCAAACGGCCCGGUGGGUGUUCAAACAGUACUUGUGAGUAUGAUUGCGACCAAAAGCGCAAGCCCAUCUGUGGUCCACGGUGCUCUUGGAAGGCCAAUUGUGUUGGCGGGAGCUGCAAGUGCCUGGUGUGCAAUGUGAAGGAAACAACGAUGCUAUAACUACCUAACUUAAGAUUAGUUCAUGUCAAAGAAAAUAACAAGCAAUACUGUAAUAUACAGUAUGGCAGCAAUACUUUUGCUGGAAAGUGAUGUAGCACAAAGUUCAUGUUGCACCUUGAGGUAUAUGGAGUUACAAAAUA